UUGCUCUCUGGAUCAGUGGCGAACGGGUGAGUAACACGUGAGCAAUCUGCCCUUGACUCUGGGAUAAGCGUUGGAAACGACGUCUAAUACCGGAUACGAGCUGUGAAGGCAUCUUCAACAGCUGGAAAGAAUUUCGGUCAAGGAUGAGCUCGCGGCCUAUCAGCUAGUUGGUGAGGUAAUGGCUCACCAAGGCGUCGACGGGUAGCCGGCCUGAGAGGGUGACCGGCCACACUGGGACUGAGACACGGCCCAGACUCCUACGGGAGGCAGCAGUGGGGAAUAUUGCACAAUGGGCGCAAGCCUGAUGCAGCAACGCCGCGUGAGGGACGACGGCCUUCGGGUUGUAAACCUCUUUUAGCAGGGAAGAAGCGAAAGUGACGGUACCUGCAGAAAAAGCACCGGCUAACUACGUGCCA
rnacentral:rRNA from 1 species